rnacentral:rRNA from 1 species
AUACGUAGGGGGCGAGCGUUGUCCGGAAUGAUUGGGCGUAAAGGGCGCGUAGGCGGCCCGGUAAGUCUGGAGUGAAAGUCCUGCUUUUAAGGUGGGAAUUGCUUUGGAUACUGUCGGGCUUGAGUGCAGGAGAGGUAAGUGGAAUUCCCAGUGUAGCGGUGAAAUGCGUAGAGAUUGGGAGGAACACCAGUGGCGAAGGCGACUUACUGGACUGUAACUGACGCUGAGGCGCGAAAGUGUGGGGAGCAAACAGGAUUAGAUACCCUGGUAGUCCACACUGUAAACGAUGAAUGCUAGGUGUAGGGGGUAUCGACUCCCUCUGUGCCGCAGUUAACACAAUAAGUAUUCCGCCUGGGGAGUACGGCCGCAAGGUUGAAACUUAAAGGAAUUGACGGGG